rnacentral:rRNA from 1 species
GUUGAACGCUGGCGGCAUGCCUUACACAUGCAAGUCGAACGGCAGCACGGGAGCAAUCCUGGUGGCGAGUGGCGAACGGGUGAGUAAUAUAUCGGAACGUGCCCAGUCGUGGGGGAUAACGUAGCGAAAGCUACGCUAAUACCGCAUACGAUCUAGGGAUGAAAGAGGGGGAUCGCAAGACCUCGCGCGAUUGGAUCGGCCGAUAUCAGAUUAGGUAGUUGGUGGGGUAAAGGCUCACCAAGCCGACGAUCUGUAGCUGGUCUGAGAGGACGACCAGCCACACUGGGACUGAGACACGGCCCAGACUCCUACGGGAGGCAGCAGUGGGGAAUUUUGGACAAUGGGCGCAAGCCUGAUCCAGCAAUGCCGCGUGCAGGAUGAAGGCCUUCGGGUUGUAAACUGCUUUUGUACGGAGCGAAAAGGCUCUCUCUAAUACAGGGGGCUCAUGACGGUACAGUAAGAAUAAGCACCGGCUAACUACGUGCCAGCCGCCGCCGUAA